rfam:Triticum aestivum genome assembly, contig: Triticum_aestivum_CS42_TGACv1_scaffold_557340_7AL
AAAGUAUUACCUCUGUCCCUAAUUACUUGUCUUACAUUUGUUUAGAUAUGAACGUAUCUAGACACGUUUUAGUGUUAAAUAAAUUGGUAUUUAGACGAACCUAAGACACGUAAUUUGAAACAGAGGGGGUAUUAA